rnacentral:rRNA from 1 species
AUGAACCGCAAGAUUGUGCUGUUCAACGGCAUAUGGUGUAGGCUCAAGGAAGUGUACGUGAGUGGUCAAUCUGAUGACCAACUCAUGAAUAAAGCUCAUGACAUGUACAAGUCCGAGCAGAAGCAAACUUUCACAUUCGGGAAUCUAUGGAGAGAGCUACGGCAACACCCAAAGUGGACAAGGAUAUAUGCAGAGGAGAAAACGGGCACAGCUGAUGAUGAUGUAGUAAAUGAGAUUCAAGAAGAAACAAGGCCACCAGGGAGAAAUAUUGCGAAAGACAAAAGGAAUGGAAAAGGUAAAAGUUCAUCUGAAUUUUCUUCAGGUCUUUCUCAUGAUGACAUUCAAUUGUAG